AAGAUUAAACCAUUUAGUAUUUUAAAAAGUUAAAAUACAUCCUUAUACUAUAUAAAAUAAGGAUGAGCAUAACCAGAUACCUGCCUAUUUUAGCUGGAACCGGAACCGCUCCCGUAACCGGCGGUUCAUAAGUUAUUGGAACCGGAACCGCAUACACCGGUUCCUAGAAAAUCGUACUCCCGGAACCAUCGGAACCGGUUCCUGUUCCGGGUACCCAGUUUCUUAAAUAUAAAAAUUUUUAAUUAUAAAUUAUAGAUUACAUGGCAUGGAUAUUAACGUUUACAAACAUCCGAAUUAGAAAUGUUAUGAAUAUAAAACAAUUAUAAAAACUUGAUCUUUUACAUAACCACCUAUUAAACUUUAAAAACACUUCUCACAAUUAAAAAACGUCAUAGAAAACAAUUGCCAUCAAGUGAAAUUUAAUAAGUAGAGAUGACAAAAAUGACAAAUUACGAACAAUAAACAUAAAACAACCACAUGAAAACAACACAUCAAAAACAUCAUAGCCUUGAAUUGGAUUCAUUGAUCUUGUCGACUCAUCUGUCGAGAACAGUAUACUGCAUGGAUAUAACAUAAGAUUUAGUAUGUGAUUGUUAAGAUUCCUGUAAAGGUAAAUAGAAGAACACCAUCAGAAGUUAACGAAUAUAACAUUAGAUUUAUCAAUCAGAUACUAAUAUAAACCCUCAAAAAUGCUUGACUAUUUGUUAGUUAAAUCAAUUCAAACUGAACGAAUAUAAGAUUAGAUUUAGUAUGUGAUUCACAAAUCAUUUUGUUGAGAUUACAAUAUCUCAUAGAUUGGAACAUUGGAACGGUUCAUUUGAAAAGUAAAAAAAAAUAUAGAAAUUGGAUAUUCUGACAUGACUUCUUGGAUGAAAAGAUAAACUAAUGUUAGAUUUAAUACAAAAAUCAAUUGCCAAUUUGACAUACCAUCACUAGUGAGACACUAGAAUCUGUCCACUAGAAAACAGAUAACAAACCAAUUCAUAAACCAAAUAAUUUAAAGAUUAACAUCAUAUUAACGAACCUGCUGUAUCUUCAUUCUAGGUACACGCAUAUGCCUAGUUAACUUUUAAUAAGCCGCCCAAACAUGUAAUUAUAAGUUGUCAAAGCCAAUUUGUAAUGACUGAUAACAAGAAUAGAAUAUAUUUUUAUAAUGACUAAUAAAAAUAAUAGAACAUAAAGUAUAAUCGAGGUUUUGUAUGUACAAAUACCUUCCAUUAAGUGUCAUAAUAGCAAGACAACGAAACACCAAUCAAAGCAAACCGCAAAGGCACAAACCCAUAUGAUGACUGAAAUCAAAAAAAUAGUCAACCAUCCAAAAUCAAGUAAAGAUGAGUAUAUAUUUAACUAAUAUCUAAAUAUCAAUAUGUAUCUCACCAAGUAACCUACUGGUCUGUUGGUGUUCCAAGCAACCUGCAUAAUGUCAUCCUUGAGAGUGCACCUGCACCUGCUCUUGGAUCGAUUCACCUGCUAACCAGUUUCAUCAUCAUGCAUUGGAGACUUGGAUAAUCAACCGUAUGUUAAUUCGGUAGAUCCUGCAUACAUCAAACAUAUUUAAUUUGUGAUUAAGAGUGAAUCAAGAUUCACAGAUGGAAAUAAAAAAAAAUUAACAGAUGGAAAUCAAGAUUCAGCCUAAAGACUCGACAAAUUAACAAAAAGAUCAAAACUAACAGUUUAAUAAUCUAAUCGAGAUUCAUAGAUGGAGGUUGAACAACCUAAGAAAUCGAUAAUCGAGAUAUCCAAUUUCACAGUCAACAGAUACAAUCAUAUUUUAGAGUUAUGAUUGAGAAUCUAACCUUGAAGAUGAGAGAGACGAGGAAGACGAGGGAGAGCAUAAAUAUGGAUGAUCAGAGCGAUAUGGUCCACCUUGAAGUGUCGACUGAAGUGUCGAUUGAGAGACAUAGAGACGAGGGAGACAAGUGAAUUUCAAUUUCUGGAACAGAUUGAUGUGCCGACUGAAGCUUCGAUUGAAGCUUGGAGAUUGAAGUGCAAACUGAACCUUCGAUUGAAGCUUGGAUUGAACAGAAUGAUGACUGGAGUCUGGAGCGAUUGAAGCUUCGAUUAACUAAAGGAUGGGUUUGAGAGGGGAGAGAGGAGAGUGACGAGAAGAGAAGACGACGUUUUUUUUGGAAUGAAAAUCAUAAACCCUAAAAACGAAUCAGGUCUAAGGUAAUCGGUAUAAGUUC
rnacentral:lncRNA from 1 species